rnacentral:rRNA from 1 species
UACGAAGGGGGCUAGCGUUGUUCGGAAUCACUGGGCGUAAAGGGCACGUAGGCGGCCUGAUAAGUCGGGGGUGAAAGCCUGUGGCUCAACCACAGAAUUGCCUUCGAUACUGUUAGGCUUGAGACCGGAAGAGGUAAGUGGAACUGCGAGUGUAGAGGUGAAAUUCGUAGAUAUUCGCAAGAACACCAGUGGCGAAGGCGGCUUACUGGUCCGGUUCUGACGCUGAGGCGCGAAAGCGUGGGGAGCAAACAGG